GAUGAACGCUAGCUACAGGCUUAACACAUGCAAGUCGCGGGGCAGCAUUCACUUAGCUUGCUAAGUGAGAUGGCGACCGGCGCACGGGUGAGUAACGCGUAUCCAACCUGCCCUUGUCCACGGGAUAACCCCGGUGAAAAACCGGCCUAAUACCGUAUGAGGUCACAAGCGGACAUCCAACUGUGACGAAAGGUUUUGCGGACAAGGAUGGGGAUGCGUCCGAUUAGCUUGACGGCGGGGUAACGGCCCACCGUGGCUACGAUCGGUAGGGGUUCUGAGAGGAAGGUCCCCCCACAUUGGAACUGAGACACGGUCCAAACUCCUACGGGAGGCAGCAGUGAGGAAUAUUGGUCAAUGGACGGGAGUCUGAACCAGCCAAGUAGCGUGCAGGAUGACGGCCCUAUGGGUUGUAAACCUCUUUUGUCGGGGAGUAACGUGCGGGACGCGUCCCGUAUUGAGAGUACCCGAAGAAAAAGCAUCGGCUAACUACGUG
rnacentral:rRNA from 1 species